AAUGCCGCGUGGGUGAAGAAGGCCUGCGGGUUGUAAAGCCCUUUCGGCCGGGAAGAUGGGGUUCGGUGCUAAUACCAUCGAACCUUGACGUUACCGGCAGAAGAAGCACCGGCUAACUCCGUGCCAGCAACCUCGGUGACUGAGCGGGCUGGCAAGGCGCAUA
rnacentral:rRNA from 1 species